rnacentral:rRNA from 1 species
GAUGAACGCUGGCGGCGUGCUUAAUACAUGCAAGUCGAACGGAGUAUAUAGCAAUAUAUACUUAGUGGCGAACGGGUGAGUAACGCGUUGGUGACCUGCCCCGAAGAGGGGGAUAACAGUUCGAAAGGACUGCUAAUACCCCAUGAGGUCUCUGAAGUUAGAGGUUUGGAGACGAAAGGAGCAAUCCGCUUUGGGAGGGGCCUGCGUCCCAUCAGCUAGUUGGUAAGGUAAAAGCUUACCAAGGCGAAGACGGGUAGGGGGCCUGAGAGGGUGACCCCCCACACUGGCACUGAAACACGGGCCAGACACCUACGGGAGGCUG